UCUUUUGGCUUAGCUUUAGAUUUCAUUUCAAGUUUUCAAUUUUAUUUUUAACCGUUAAUAUUUUUUUGAUUGAAAUGGCCAAUUCAUUGAUUUAUGAACAUUUUUUAUAUUCAAGUGAAUUCUAUUCAUGUGUAUUAACGUAAAACUCUGUGAUAAAUCAACAAAAAUGUUAAUCUUUUUUGACUUACAACCCUUCAAAGUGAUAAACUACGCACUAGACAUGGAUACACAUGGAUUAUUAUUUAUGUUUACUUUUCCAGUUUUAUAGAUUACAUUUCAACAGUUUAACAUUUUUUUAUUUAUUGGGCUGGUUGAUGAUUUGAUCCUUUCAUUUAAUGGUAGAUUGGUUAACAAAUUAACUGGAGAAACCAAUUUGUGAAUUAGACUGGCUUUUAAAAUACGAUUCCAAUUGGUUCCAUUAUACAUUAAUCGAUUUUAAAUUGCUCUUGAUUUCAAAUGGUUAUUCAAAUGAAAGUGGUUACUCUGUUGCUCGCAUUAUAUUUUUCAUGUUAAUCACUCUCUCGUUUGGUCAUUAAUGGUGUUUUCUGUUGAAUCUGUUUCUCAUUACUCUUCAUUAUACUUUAACCUUUUCUCAUUCAUCUCAUCCAUUCAAUCAUGGACAUCGUGAGGGUCAUCAUCAUAAUCAUCGCCACAAAUUUUAAUCUAUUUUGUUCAAACAAAAAGACUAAAGGAAAUAUAAUCACCAACCAUUCCAACGAAUUAUUCUGACCUCUAACCGUUGCACGUUCAAAAAAUGAAACAACGCAAACUAAUAUUAGAUUCAAGUAAAGUCAAGGAUAAUCAAAAAAUCAAAGGAAAUGAAUCAAAUAAUAAUAAUAAUGAUUAUUAUGAUGACGUUGAUGAUGAUGGCUACUAUGAGAUGAAAUUACGAGAUGAGAAAAAAAAAUAUCUUCAAUUCUAAUUUAAAUCAACUGGAUUCUGAUGGAAACAUUAUCAUGAUAGAGUUUCUCUCUUUCUCAUUUCAUUUUCCUCAUUUCAUAUAAAUACACUUCUCCAGUAUCAUUAUCAUCACUUGCAAUAAUCAUCAUCAUCAACAACAUCAUGAUAUAAAGCAAUUGAGCAGCCUUUCCAAAUUGAGAUGGAUGAUGAGGAAGAUGGGAGACGAUGAAAUGUUAACUGUAAGCUGAUUGAAUUUGAUUGUUCUGUCAGCUUCCCAGUUUAAUCAA